CUUGCUGGAUGAUGACGAUCGGCGGACGGGUGAGUAAUGCAUAGGAAUCUGCCCGGUAGUGGGGGAUAACCUGGGGAAACCCGGGCUAAUACCGCAUACGUCCUACGGGAGAAAGGGGGCUUUGGCUCCCGCUAUUGGAUGAGCCUAUGUCGGAUUAGCUGGUUGGUGAGGUAAAGGCUCACCAAGGCAACGAUCCGUAGCUGGUCUGAGAGGAUGAUCAGCCACAUCGGGACUGAGACACGGCCCGAACUCCUACGGGAGGCAGCAGUGGGGAAUAUUGGACAAUGGGGGGAACCCUGAUCCAGCCAUGCCGCGUGUGUGAAGAAGGCCCUCAGGUUGUAAAGCACUUUCAGCGAGGAAGAACGCCUAGUGGUUAAUACCCAUUAGGAAAGACAUCACUCGCAGAAGAAGCACCGGCUAACUCCGUGCCAGCAGCCGCGGUAAUACGGAGGGUGCAAGCGUUAAUCGGAAUUACUGGGCGUAAAGCGCGCGUAGGUGGCUUGAUAAGCCGGAUGUGAAAGCCCCGGGCUCAACCUGGGAACGGCAUCCGGAACUGUCAGGCUAGAGUGCAGGAGAGGAAUGUAGAAGUCCCGGUGUAGUGCUGAA
rnacentral:rRNA from 1 species